rnacentral:misc_RNA from 1 species
GCAAUGUGUCAAAAUAACUGUCAGUGUGCCUUGCUUUUUGCUUUCGACACGAUCCGUCCAACGGUGAACGUUGCCUCUUGUCUGUGUGUUCGGCUCAGUUGCAGAGUGGCUUUCGGCCGGAACGGUCUCCAGGCUCGCGUUGUCCUGGUGCGCGCGACGGCGUGUGUGUGUGUGAGAGAGAGAGUUGUGAUUGGAAAACAUAAUUCAUCUGAAGAAAAAAAAAAUAAAGUGCGGAAACCACAUCCUUUCGGGCCAGGAUUAACGGAGGGCUUCCACCGGGGGGGCCGCCAGCGGAGUGUCCACCUCGAUCGCAAGGUGCUCGAAAGAGUGUUUUUGUGAAGUUUUGAGAAGAAAAAGAAAAAAAAUCGGAUCAGCAAAGAAUCGAUUUUGCUUUGCGUGUGUGGGAGAGUGGAAAGUGUUAUCAAUCAAAAAGGGGUUAGUUCGAGAGAUAUUUGAAGUUUUAGUUAGUUUACAAAAGAUACAGUGAGUGCAGUGUACGAAUAAGAAUUGCGCUGUCGAAUUCGAGCGUAAUUCCAUUCAUCGAAAGUGAAAAUUCUGCAUUUCUUUGUUGAGUGAAGGAUUGAAAAAAAAAAGAAGUUCGGCAGACAUCGCCUUUAUCUUCAUCCCGACGACACAGACACAUCUGUGUUUGUUAGCGGUUGCCCAAGAAACUGCCAGACGAGAAGUGUACAAUCGACAACAUAAAGGUGGGACCGUAAUCGAAUCAUUCCCGUCGUAGCACGCUCUCGGCCUUCCAUCGUCGGUCAUGGAGGUGCCUGCAAGUAGCGCCAGUAGCAGAACGACCGACGCCACAGUCAACUUCCGUCAGAGCUGCCAUCACCACUCGACUCACUCCCGAGCGUCCACAACCAGAAGCCAUUCCCCCCGUUCCUCCCCCGCGACGACAGAAAUGAUUUCGUCACGCGGCAGUAGCUGGCGGCGGUCCACGUUCCGGGGCCCACCGAAGCUGGCAUUCGUCAUCCUAUUGCUCAUGGCCGUUUUCGGCAGCAGAAGUAAUCAACUAGUACAAGCGGAGAUUUUGAAGAUCCCGAAGACUGAAUUCACCAACUUUAGCGAAACACCCAACUACAUUAGCUCAACGUCUUACAACGCGCGCGGAAUGGGUCCGCUGUACAAUCUGACCAACAUUGCGAUCCGGCUGUUUGUCGACACCGAUCCGGUCCCAGAAGGCUAUCUAAUCGUAGAGGAAGGAAGCAUCAAGCUGGGCCCAAAUGUGCAGGAGAACAACUGGGGACCGCUGCUGCGCGAGUACUGGGCCGUCCUGCUGGUCACGGUCAUCUGUGUCCUGCUGAUUGUGCUGAUGCCAAUCAUCGGCCUAUGUCUGUGCUGCUGCCGGUGCUUUGGCGGAUGUGGUGGCCGCACGCAGCCCUUCGACAAGAAACACGACACCUGCCGCCGGGUGCUGCUCGGACUGCUGCUGAUAUGUACCACUUCUUCGCUGGUGUUUGGAGUGGUCAUUGCGUUCGCUACAAAUAGCUACCUGCAGCAUGGUGUUGAGAACAUUACAACUUCGGCCCGGUACGGCGUGGACGAUACACGUGAGUUUCUUAAGUCGACCUCGCGCCACAUUUCCCAACUGCUGGAAAUGAACUACCAGGAGCUCAACAGCCAGCUGAAGAAGACCCUCGGCGAGGCGUCCGACAUCAUCAUUCAACGGCUGGAGGAGGAAUCGCAGGCCGAGAAGCUCAACACGUUGAAUGACUUUGUCGAGCAGCUUCCGGCCAUCAAGAACAACCUGGACCGGAUGACGCUGCUGACUCGGGAACUGCGAGUGAACGCCUCGCAGCUGAACGACGGAUUACGUGGCGUUAAACGAGAACUGUUGGCCUCGCUGACCAAAUGCGGCACCCAGGAGUGCAUCAACGUGAUGGAGGACUACAAAAUCGGUCGGCUCGACACCAACGGGAUCGAUUACAACUCGAUACAAGACAGAUACUUCCCGAGGCUUCCGGACUUGACCGAGAUCACCAACAGCGUGCAGGACCUGGUGUCUGGCAAUGUGGCCGAUGCGGUCAAGGAAGGCGUGGACGAGCUGGAGAAGCUGAAGCAAACAUUGAAGCGUACCGUGCGGGACAGUAUUCCGAUGGUGACGGCCGCUGCGGAUUCGACCGGCAGUGCCAUCAAGUCGGCAUCGGAUGAGCUGACGUCGCGGCUGAACAGCGUUCGGAACUUGAUUGGCAACAACACUUACAAGCACCUGGAGACGGCCGACGAUUACAUCGUGCAGUACAGCAUCUAUCGGUAUUACGUGGGACUGGGGGUUAGUUCGGUGCUGCUGUUGAUCCUGAUGUGUCUUGUGUGCGGACUGCUGUGCGGAAUCUGCGGCAAGAGACCGGACGGCUACGGGGAUGAUUGCUGCAACAAGGGCGCCGGUGGACGGUUCUUGAUGUUUGCCGUGGCCAUCAUCUUCCUGACCUUCUCGGUAAUUCUGGCCGUCACGCUGGUGUCCUUCCUGGCGGGCAGCGUUCUUCGCCGUGGCGUGUGCGAUUCGCUGAAGCACCCCCGGGACAGCCAGGUGAUUGACUACAUCGACACGUACUUCAACGUCAACAAGCAAUACGAGCAAAUCCGAUCGCAAAACACGCGCUCCAAGUGGAAGCUCCAGGCGAAUGCCCGCCCGGAUCCGCUCCGGAUCGCCGAGGUGAUCGAGUCGUGCAGCAAAAACAACUCUGUUUAUGAGGUUCUGAAGCUGUCCAACUUUUACGACAUUCAGGAGAUUCGCCAAUUCCCCGAAGACUACGGUAUUACGCGUGAGUUGAACGCGCUCAAAGAGAAGAUCGAGAUCAAAAAGGUAGACAUACUGUCGCCAACGGCUAAGAAAAACAUCGAAGAGCUGCGCGACUCUCGGUUGAACGACUUUAUGGCGUACAAAUUCAUCGAUCAUCUCACCGAGAAUAUCACUCAGAACAAUCUGAACGACAUUGCUCACAAACUGCGGGACGUGGCCAACCGGAUCCCGCCGGGUAAGGAAAUGAACGACAUCAAGGUGAACCUGAAGAACCAGGCGCUGCAUUUGUCCUCGUACCAGCUGAAUCUCGUGGAACCGAUGCUGCGCUACACCAGCGAGCUGCGCAACCUGUCGACGACGCUCGAGCGCAGCCUCAAGUUUGGCAAAGAUUCAUUCGCGCUCGCGAUCGAAGACUUCCUCGAGCACAUCCAGAAGGCGGAGGCGUACAUCAACGUGCAGGGCCAGAAGUUCGUGGAGGAUGUCACGUCCGAGCUGGUCAACGGCAUCCUCCAGCAGAUCCACUCGUAUCUGAACCUGGUGAUUGAGGCCACCAGCAAGAACAUUGGCCGCUGCGGCCCCAUCGCCAACGUGUACGACUCGAUGACGGUCGCGACCUGCAACAGGAUUGUGGAUCCAUUCAACGGAUUCUGGGCCGGCGUCGGGUGGUGUCUCGCCAUCUUCCUGCCGACGAUCGUGCUGUGCGUGAAGCUGUCCACGCUCUACCACAAGUCGGAUCCGUACCCGGGCCCGCUGGUCGAAUCAGAGCCACGUUUGGUGAAGACUUCUUGAUUUUGAUUCGUUUUUUUGUUUUAUUUUUUUAGUAGAGAUGUGAUAACUUGUUUUAAGUAUUACACAAACAGUAGUAGUGCCUGUUUGAGUGUAGAUUAGCAUUAGCAUAGAGUAGAUUUGUAGUAUUGUAAUUUAACUGUACAAAGUGAAGCAUUCUCAUGCUUGCUGAAUUGCAAGACAAUCCCGAGUCGUGGUUUUCAUGGCAUUUUUUCUUGCAUAUGGUGAAAGAAAGCUAAGUGAAUGAAUGGAUUAACAAUGGUUGCAUACUAACAGUACUACCGACCAAAAGAUGGUAUAACUUUCCUCGAGUGUGUUUUUGGGAGUACCUGUACGAUGCCUACAGCGAGCGGGACAACAUUCCACUGGCGAG